rnacentral:rRNA from 1 species
GACGAACGCUGGCGGCGUGCUUAACACAUGCAAGUCGAACGGAAAGGCCCUGCUUUUGUGGGGUGCUCGAGUGGCGAACGGGUGAGUAACACGUGAGUAACCUGCCCUUGACUUUGGGAUAACUUCAGGAAACUGGGGCUAAUACCGGAUAGGAGCUCCUGCUGCAUGGUGGGGGUUGGAAAGUUUCGGCGGUUGGGGAUGGACUCGCGGCUUAUCAGCUUGUUGGUGGGGUAGUGGCUUACCAAGGCUUUGACGGGUAGCCGGCCUGAGAGGGGGACCGGCCACAUUGGGACUGAGAUACGGCCCAGACUCCUACGGGAGGCAGCAGUGGGGAAUAUUGUACAAUGGGCGGAAGCCUGAUGCAGCAACGCCGCGUGCGGGAUGACGGCCUUCGGGUUGUAAACCGCUUUCGCCUGUGACGAAGCGUGAGUGACGGUAAUGGGUAAAGAAGCACCGGCUAACUACGUG